rnacentral:rRNA from 1 species
GGAAUUGCAUUCGAUACUGGUGAGCUAGAGUAUGGGAGAGGAUGGUAGAAUUCCAGGUGUAGCGGUGAAAUGCGUAGAGAUCUGGAGGAAUACCGAUGGCGAAGGCAGCCAUCUGGCCUAAUACUGACGCUGAGGUACGAAAGCAUGGGGAGCAAACAGGAUUAGAUACCCUGGUAGUCCAUGCCGUAAACGAUGUCUACUAGCCGUUGGGGCCUUUGAGGCUUUAGUGGCGCAGCUAACGCGAUAAGUAGACCGCCUGGGGAGUACGGUCGCAAGACUAAAACUCAAAUGAUUUGACGGGGGCCCGCACAAGCGGUGGAGCAUGUGGUUUAAUUCGAUGCAACGCGAAGAACCUUACCUGGCCUUGACAUACUAGAAACUUUCCAGAGAUGGAUUGGUGCCUUCGGGAAUCUAGAUACAGGUGCUGCAUGGCUGUCGUCAGCUCGUGUCGUGAGAUGUUGGGUUAAGUCCCGCAACGAGCGCAACCCUUUUCCUUACUUGCCAGCAUUUCGGAUGGGAACUUUAAGGAUACUGCCAGUGACAAACUGGAGGAAGGCGGGGACGACGUCAAGUCAUCAUGGCCCUUACGGCCAGGGCUACACACGUGCUACAAUGGUCGGUACAAAGGGUUGCUACACAGCGAUGUGAUGCUAAUCUCAUAAAGCCGAUCGUAGUCCGGAUUGGAGUCUGCAACUCGACUCCAUGAAGUCGGAGUCGCUAGUAGUCGCGCAUCAUAGUGCCGCGGUCGAAUACGUUCCCUGGCCUUGUACACACCGCCCGUCACACCAUGGGAGUUUGUUGCACCAGAAGUAGCUAGCCUAACUGCAAAGAGGGCAGAUACCUACAGUUCC